UGAGAUUCUCAGGGCGGGGUGAAAGUCCCCACCGGCGGUAAUCACGUUUACGUGUAGCCCGCGGGCGCUUGUCGACACUCUCGGCAAGGACAGCAGACUCGGUGCGAUUCCGAGGCCGACGGUUAAAGUCCGGUUAUGAGAUUGUGG
rnacentral:ncRNA from 1 species